CCACGACACUGAAGGUUGUAGCAUCCGGUUACAUUGUAGGUGUCGCUCUGAAUAAAAGUUUAUAU
rnacentral:sRNA from 1 species